rnacentral:misc_RNA from 1 species
UUUCCGUAGGUGAACCUGCGGAAGGAUCAUUACUGAGUGAGGGCCCUCUGGGUCCAACCUCCCACCUGUGUUUAUUAUACCUUGUUGCUUCGGUGAGCCCGCCUCACGGCCGCCGGGGGGCAUCUGCCCCCGGGCCCGCGCCCACCGAAGACACCUAGAACUCUGUAUGAAGAUUGCAGUCUGAGCAAAAACUAAAUAAGUUAAAACUUUCAACAACGGAUCUCUUGGUUCCG